GGCGAGUGAAGCGGCAAUAGCUCAAAUUUAAAAUCUGGCUCUGCUCUAGGGUCCGAGUUGUAAUUUGUAGAGGGUGCUUUGGCACUGAUGGCGGUCUAAGUUCCUUGGAACAGGACAUCACAGAGGGUGAGAAUCCCGUAUGUGGUCGCUGAUCUUUGCCGUGUAAAGCCCCUUCAACGAGUCGAGUUGUUUGGGAAUGCAGCUCUAAAUGGGAGGUAAAUUUCUUCUAAAGCUAAAUAUUGGCCAGAGACCGAUAGCGCACAAGUAGAGUGAUCGAAAGAUGAAAAGCACUUUGGAAAGAGAGUCAAAAAGCACGUGAAAUUGUUGAAAGGGAAGCGCUUGCCGCCAGACUUGCCUGCAGUUGCUCACCUAGGCGUUCAGCCUGGGGCACUCUUCUGCAGGCAGGCCAGCAUCAGUUUGGGCAGCCGGAUAAAGGUCUCUGACACGUUCCUACCUUUGUGUAGGCCAUAUAGGGGAGACGUCAUGCGGUUAGCCUGGACUGAGGUCCGCGCAUUGCUAGGAUGCUGGCGUAAUGGCUGCAAGCGGCCCGUCUUGAAACACGGACCAAGGAGUCUAACAUCUAUGCGAGUGUUUGGGUGUCAAGCCCGAGCGCGCAAUAAACGUGAACGGAGGUGGGAACCCUCUUUGGGGGUGCACCAUCGACCGAUCCUGAUGUCUUCGGAUGGAUUUGAGUAAGAGCAUAGCUGUUGGGACCCGAAAGAUGGUGAACUAUGCUUGAAUAGGGUGAAGCCAGAGGAAACUCUGGUGGAGGCUCGCAGCGGUUCUGACGUGCAAAUCGAUCGUCAAAUUUGGGCAUAGGGGCGAAAGACUAAUCGAACUAUCUAGUAGC
rnacentral:rRNA from 1 species